CCAAAAACCCAACUUACCAUCGAUUACGCCUUUCCUCCGACAACUGGUUACGAUUCUCCUCAGCCAACGUCGUCCCACGAUCUUAAGUCAUCAAUUUGCCAAAGAUGAGUGGAAUCAGUUAGGAUCACGAAGGUUUCUCCUUCUUCUUCACUCCGCUACACAAAACCCUAGCUCUACCUUGAAGGUUCUCUCUUAAUUCAACCCCAAACAUUAGGGUUAUUAAUAAUUGGGGCAACGGGCUCAGGAAAGUCUCGCUUCUCUAUCGACCUGGCCUCUCACUUCGCCGGCGUCCAGGUCAUCAACACCGACUCGAUGCAAGUCUACCAAGGCCUCGACGUCCUCACCAACAAAGUUCCUUUUUUUGAGCGCGAUAGUAUAUAUUUCCCUUUAUCUUCCUCUCUUGUCUGGCUACGAAUUCACCGCGACUUCUCUAAAAAGUGACUUUAGGAGUUCCUCACCAUCUUCUAGGGACCGUUGACACAUCGGUCGAGUUCACUUGCAGAGAUUUUCGUGAUCUCGUCGUUCCAGUAAAAACCUCGACUCGAUUGAUUCUGCACCUUUUUUUCAAAUUUAAGUUUAGGUUGAAUAUUUUGACACUUGCUUGGUAAUUUUGUUAGAUUAUUGAUGACAUAUUGUCCCGUGAUGGUCUUCUGGUUAUUGUUGGGGGUACAGAUUACUACAUCCAAGUUCAUUAUUCGUUAUAUACAACAUGCUAUUUUCUAAAGUUCUUUCUUUUGAAAAGCUUAAUGUCAACUUAAUUUUUUGGUAGGCUCUUGUGAGCUCAUUCCUUGUAGAUGAUGCGGUGCAAGAUAUGGAAGAAGACACCGUUGUUAGCGAACAAGAAUUAAGCAAUGUACAUCUGGCUGCUAGCUAUGAGCAUCUUAAGGAGAUUGAUCCAGUUGUUGCAAACAGGAUUCACCCAAAUGACCAUAGAAAGGUGAGUAGGUCAUAGCGCGGAUAUCUAUUUGUUUUUAUUGAUACCUAAGCCCUCUUUCCACAAUUAAAAUCAUGGCGUCUUCAAGCGAUGAGGAGGUGCAGGACCCACAAUCUGUGACGAGCAUUUACUACGUAGAUGAUACGGAGAACAAUGUUGAUGAUUUGGAGAAUGAUGCUGAUCCACUUUGUACCAUUUGUGACAAUGGCGGUCGAAUUGUGCGGUAUGCUCUGUUUGUCUGUUGAUUCUUUCUCGCUCGUGGCUCCUAAUGGUACAUGCAUGCACAAACUCAGACAUGAUAUUUCAAAAUGAUGUUUGUUGUGUUAAUUUAUAUACAUUUGCUAGCUUCCUUAACUGUUCAAACACAUGUAUCUCAACUAGAGUCAUAGUGCAAAGUAGUGUGCACCUAAUGCUCUUUUAUGGUUUGAAUGGUAUAAGGAAUGCCUACAAGUUUCUGUAAGGAAACCACAUUGUCCAUACCCAACAAACUUGAAUAGGAUAUGGAUCCACAAGAAUCAUAUAUAUGUAUAGAGGAAUAGGAUACAAGAGAAAUGGAUAGAAUUGAAAAGGUCAAGUUAUGCGAUACAAAGACUACUUAAACAACAAAAUUUCUCAUGUCAGAGCCCAUCAUGUGAACAUGUCUAAAAAAACUAAAGUUGGAUCUCUGGGUCCUUAAAAUUGGACUUAUAUCUACUAUAAUUUUCUAAACAAUUUCAACGUCUUCCGAUAUCAGUGUAUGAAUCCAUAUGUUUUACUUAUACCGUAUACGAAAGUUUAAAAAUAUGUGCAUAUCAUUAAACACAUCCUAUGGGCGUGUGUGACUCUGUGUGUGCGUAUUCAUGUAUGCGUCUUGUUGGAUAGAGAUGGAUAGAUAUACAGAUACAUAUACAUAAAUGCCCAUAUCCUCUAGCAUUCCUAGCUAUAAAUACUAGGUUCCUUGUGCUUUCAAAAGAUAUGUUUAAAGGGUUUGGUUGUUGUAGUAUCCAGAUUUAGCAGGGUGAUAAAUGGGAAGAUGCAUCUGCUGCAUUUAGAGAAAUGAAAGCCCACAUUUAUAAGUCGAUAGGUCACUGUUUCAUGUUGAGAUGGAAGGUUAAAAUUUGAGGUUUUUAUUGGAUCCAGUUAAGAAUGUGGGCAAAUAUAUAAGAGGAGGGAAGUUGACCAAUGGCAUAGGAGGAAUAUUUUCCACACUGUCUACUUCCUGAUUGACACCUCUAUUAAAUUCUACUAUCUAUACCCUUAUAAAGUAAUAAAGGCAUCUAUUGUCAGCUAGAAGAAUGCAAUGUAUUAUUUUGCUGCUUGACUUUUACAUCUUUAGCGUGUAUUAAUGUCUUAUGGUAUUAAACGCAUCUACGCACAAAAUAUUAACCUUCUUGCUCUUUUAACAUAUGAAUUUGGCAGACGGAACUGGGUAUCCUUUUUUUUCCCCAUCGUGUCGACAUAAUUAUAUUUUUACUAAAGUUUUGAGUGGAGAUGUAGGAGAUCCUUCCAUGCAACCAUAGUAGAUGGCAUAGAAUCAGGUUGUAACUCUCUUAGCUUAUCCGAAGCUCAAAUUCAGGCUAUUGACGCCUUUUUGUGUAAAAAUUGAGUAUAAUCAACAUCGAUGUUUUGUCUGUGAGAGUCUAGGCUCCUCUAAUAUGCUGGUUGGUGCACAGGUCUUCCCUUCCGUUGAUGCAACUUGUGGUCACUUCUACCACCUAAAAUGUGUAGCCGACCUGCUGUUCCCGUAGAAUGAAAUGGAAGCAACAGAGUGUGAGUUAAUUAUUGUUGAUUGGGAAUCAUUUGCAUGCCCUGCUUAUAAAUGUCAUGUUUGUAACCAAGAAGAAAACAAAGAGGUUGCCGAGUUACAGUUUGUAGUGUGCCGGCGUUGCCCUAUGUCAUAUCACAAGCAGUGUUUGCCUGGAGAAAAAGGUAAUUGGGCCUUCAGAUGCUUUAGUUUGCAAGAAUGAGUUCAAAGG